rnacentral:lncRNA from 1 species
UCGAUCACACAGAGAGUGAAAGAAGCACAAGCAAUGAAGUGGACGUGGACGACGGGGUCAAUGUGAAAAACAGUCAGAGACAAAUUUCAUCGGAACAAGUGAAAUUAGGAAAAGCUUAAAAAAGAAAAAAGUAUUAACACUCACUCCCUGGGUCUGUGAGUACAUCUGUGGAUUUGUGGGUAAAUCUCUUGAAUGGCGACAUUGUUUACAGCAGUCUUCAUCCUCGUUCUUUUUAUUGUUGCCAGGGUAGUUCCAUCGUAACUUCAGACCUAGUCACCCGUCUGUUUGUGCUCUUAAGUUCUGCAUUUCUAAAUUUUUAAAAUUUCUAAUGUUUUAGGUGUUGGUGUUUUACGCCGAGCCAGCAACUAAGACUAUAUCAUGACAAGGCAGUCAGCCCUGUAAACAAAUGAUACAUGCAGAGAAAGAACAGCGUGCCCGAGUGAGAGUUGAACCCAGGACAGCCAACCCUUACUGUUUUGGUGACUUCGGGGACUAAGGGAGGAGGAGAAAUGGAAGGACGGCGAGGAACCGAAGAAGCAGCGAUCGAAGCAGGCGCGGAGGAGAAGCGCGGGGUCAGGAAUCAGCUGCUAAUUGGAAGUUAGCCUUGUGUGAACACUGCUCAUCAGCUCACGGCGGCCUGCAGUUAUCAGACCCUGCGACAUCCACGUCUGCUCGCCCCCCAACCAACCAACCAACCACUCCCUGCCGUCCUCCACUGCAUCUUAACCUCCAUCGCAACACUUCCCAUGAGGCCCUCAUCUCUAUGAUUAGUGCAGAGAACCUUUUGUUCUUGUCCUACCUGCACCGCCGCACAAUGGCGGAGCUGAAACUCAAUAGAAAAAUCAAUGCUUCUUUUAAUGAAGGCGAUUUCUGAAGAUGCCAGCAGAAAUCGCGAAAGUUUUUAUUUUCUCCGAUUCCGAAAAAAGUCUGUAAAAUCUUCAAAACACAAGGACCUAAUGCUGUCACUUGAGAUGAGCUGUGUGAUGUCUCUACCUUUUGUAGAUGUACAGACAAAAACUCAUUUACAUUUUGUGUUGGUAGGGAAAGAGAUAAAAGCUUUAUAGUAUCCUUUGCAAAUUCCAACGACAGAGGCGAUCAUUUUACGAUGAUUGUGUAUUUCUACACCACGAUACAGUCUGAAGUCGAAGCCAAAAUAGAGCGAGAAUGGGAGGAGGAGACGACGAAAGGCAGAAAAAGAAAUAAAGGACCGAAAAAAUAAUUCAGUCGGUUGUGGGAGGAGUGGUGAACAUCAACAUCUCAUUUGUCUCCAACACGUGUGCGAAUAUGGAUAAACAAGAUAGUUAUCAUUAAAAUCUUGUGGCUGGCACGGAAUUUUCUGAGUUUGGCUCCUGUCUCUCUCCUCUCUCUUUCUCUCUCCUUCUGAAAUUGUUUGUUUGUGUGCCUGAGUGCGUGCGAGUGUAUGCAUAUCUGUGUGUGUGUGUAGCGAGAGAGAGAGAGAGCUGUAUUUAUGUGUGUUAGUAUGUAAAUGCUCAGACCUACCGACAAAGGUGUGAGCUCAACCCUCUGUAUGUUGUAUUCAAGUUCUUCGAGUCCAGCUGCUACCCUGUAAUAUUACUAUUAUCAAAGAUGAUGGUAAUAAUUUUUGCAAGCUCUUCGUCUUGAUUCUGGAAAGCCGAGACCAAGCAAUCUCUCCCGGUCCUCUCUCUCUUUCUCCUUUCUUCUUCCUUCCUGGUAAUCUCUUUCAUUUCCUUUCCUACAAUGGCGAGCAAAAGACAAAGGGAAAGCAGACAUCCAGCAAUCAUCCCUGAGGCUGUAUUUCAACUUGU